rnacentral:rRNA from 1 species
GUAGGUGGCGAGCGUUGUCCGGAAUUAUUGGGCGUAAAGAGCAUGUAGGCGGCUUAAUAAGUCGAGCGUGAAAAUGCGGGGCUCAACCCCGUAUGGCGCUGGAAACUGUUAGGCUUGAGUGCAGGAGAGGAAAGGGGAAUUCCCAGUGUAGCGGUGAAAUGCGUAGAUAUUGGGAGGAACACCAGUGGCGAAGGCGCCUUUCUGGACUGUGUCUGACGCUGAGAUGCGAAAGCCAGGGUAGCGAACGGGAUUAGAUACCCCGGUAGUCCUGGCCGUAAACGAUGGGUACUAGGUGUAGGAGGUAUCGACCCCUUCUGUGCCGGAGUUAACGCAAUNAGUACCCCGCCUGGGGAGU